UAGGGAAUAUUGCGCAAUGGGCGAAAGCCUGACGCAGCAAUACCGCGUGAGUGAGGAAGGUCUUCGGAUUGUAAAGCUCUGUCGGGAUGGAAAAAUGGUGUGAGGUCUAAUAGGCCUUACAAUUGAUGGUACAUCCAAAGGAAGCACCGGCUAACUUCGUGCCAGCAGCCGCGGUAAUACGAAGGGUGCAAGCGUUGUUCGGAUUUAUUGGGCGUAAAGCGCGCGCAGGCGGGUGAUUAAGUCAGGUGUGAAAUCUCAGGGCUCAACCCUGAAACUGCGCCUGAAACUGAUCAUCUAGAAUAUCGGAGAGGGAAGGGGAAUUUCGCAUGUAGGGGUAAAAUCCGUAGAUAUGCGAAGGAAUACCAGAGGCGAAGGCGCCUUCCUGGACGAUUAUUGACGCUGAGGCACGAAAGCGUGGGGAGCAAACA
rnacentral:rRNA from 1 species